AUUGAACGCUGGCGGCAGGCCUAACACAUGCAAGUCGAGCGGAUGAAGGGAGCUUGCUCCUGGAUUCAGCUGCGGACGGGUGAGUAAUGCCUAGGAAUCUGCCUUGUAGUGGGGGCUAACGUCCGGACACGGGCGCUAAUACCGCAUACGUCCUGAUGGAGAAAGUGGGGGAUCUUCGGACCUCACGCUAUCAGAUGAGCCUAGGUCGGAUUAGCUAGUUGGUGGGGUAAAGGCCUACCAAGGCGACGAUCCGUAACUGGUCUGAGAGGAUGAUCAGUCACACUGGAACUGAGACACGGUCCAGACUCCUACGGGAGGCAGCAGUGGGGAAUAUUGGACAAUGGGCGAAAGCCUGAUCCAGCCAUGCCGCGUGUGUGAAGAAGGUCUUCGGAUUGUAAAGCACUUUAAGUUGGGAGGAAGGGCAGUAAGUUAAUACCUUGCUGUUUUGACGUUACCAACAGAAUAAGCACCGGCUAACUUCGUG
rnacentral:rRNA from 1 species